UCCCCGUUCCCCGUUGCAGGACUGGGAUGAGCUGUACCUGCACCCGCAGCAGAGCCGCAUCUUCCAGGAGCAGCUGCUGCAGGAGCCGUGUCCGGACGUGUUCCAGUUCCCGCUUUUCUCGGAGCAGUUYGGGCGGGAGCUGCGGGAGGAGGCGGAGCUUCGAGGAGGGUGGGCGGAGCAUCACCAGGUGCUCUCGUGGGCGGUGCCAAUCUCCGCCCUCCAAUUGGAUUCCGUCCUGCAGGGGGCGCUGCAGAAGCUCCUCCCACCAAUCGCACGGCGCCUCUUCCCGGGAUACGCCCCUAAGGUGGGCGGGGCUUGCAAAAGGGGCGGGGUCGUGA